CUCGGCAUCCUACGCGCGAGGACAGGAGGAGGAGAAGAUAGACUAGAGGCGGAGGGGUUCUGGCUCUGCCGCCCUCCCUCCUGUGUGGGCUCACUUUGUGUCUGAAGUCGUGAUUGAUCACUGAGCUCCUUGAUGUUUUGACGUUCGGAACCUGUCGCAGCUCGUUUGUGAGCAAAAUUCUGGGCGGUUUUGCGACAUAAUCUGGUUACAAGACCAGCUAGUUAGCAUAACAAAGCUAACAAUCGGUAGCCACGGACCCGGCGAAGUGACGAGCAGAGCAGAGAAGGAUGGCUAGAGUUCAUUCCGGUGCUUCUGGACCAAACAACUUCUGACACGACCUAACGUUUUUCUUGUUACCAAGUCUUCGGUUGUUGGUGUUACUGAAGUCGUCACCAUGGUGCAGAAGUAUCAAUCCCCCGUGAGGGUGUACAAG